UAAAUAUUAUAUUUCAUUUUUGGCUAUAAAAAGCCAUUGUAAAUAUUGAUUUUGAGGAUACACGGAUUGAAAAAAAAACAAUUAGAAUUGAAAAGGUGAUUCAAGUUUUCAGUUUUUUUUUUGUUUUCAGAUUUCGUUUUUUUAAUAUUUUUUCUCUUCUAUUCUUUUCUCUCAUAUUUCACAUGAAGAGAAUAAAGGAAAAGAGUACUUGCCUUUGGCCUUUGAUCGCAUCUCUUUUGCUCAUGGUCGGCCACCAAGUUUGAUGGUGGUUCAGCAGUGACUUUGAGAGCCCUAACAUUAGAGAUUUGAUUUGCUGUUUGCAAAAAUGGCAGUGCCAUUCAUUUUUUUUUCUUUAAUUUUGAUUGCAAAGAAACAACACCGUUUCAAGGGGAAAUGUUUGGUUAUUUGCUGCAGAUGGUUAAUUUAUGCGAUUAAUCCCUCCCCUUCGCGUUGAUUUUCAAUUGGAUCCUAUUUGUGUUUUAUUUGUUUUUUAAAUUUUUCCUAAAAUCUGUGUGCUAUUUUAAUUUAGCCCGCGUUUAAGCUUUAUGUUUUCGGACCAGGAUUAUUCCCAACUUUAGUCCCUUAGCAUUUACGCGCAUUAUGCAUUAGCCCUCUGUUUAAUUUCAAAAUUUAUAAAUUAUCCCCUUUCAUUUUAAAUUUAUUUCAAUUAGGAUUUUUGUUUAUAUGAUUUAUUAUUUUUGAGGAGACUCAUUUAAUAUAUUUUUUAUGUGUCAGAAUUGUUUUAAUAAUUUUUAUUUUUGUUUAAAUAAAUCUUUGUUUUGAAAUCUUUAUACUAUUUUACAGUACGUAUAGAAUUUGAUUUAAAUAUUCAUGUUGAGCUUUCUAUUUGAAAUGCUUAUUAUUUUAAAAUUUACUUAAUAUUCUUAUAUAUGUGUUAAUUUAAAAAAAAAGAAAUAAUUUUGUUUUAUUUUUAUUUGUACAGUUAUUUUGGAGUUGAUUUUAUUAUAUUAUUUUUAACAUUUUUUUAUAAUUUUUCGACUAAAUAUUUCCGGAUAUGUUUGUACAUAUAUUAUUUUAAUGGGCUUUUUUUUAUUUUAAAAUACUUAUUGUUUUAAAAUUCAUUAAAUUAUGUGUGUAAAGUUACUUGGGAGCUGCAUUUUUUUUUGUGUUAAUAAAAUUAUUAUUUUGAAAUUCCUCAUUAUGUCAUAUUAUUUUAAUAUAUUAUGUAGUAUCUUAUUUUAAGUGUUUUUAUGUAUAACGGUACGUAUAUAAUUUAUAGAUUAACUUAAUUUUAUAUAUAUUAUUAAUCUCAUGCUAUUUUUUACAAACAAUUAUUCCUAAAUCUAUUUAUGUAUGCAUGUUUUUUUAAUCACUAUACCUUAUCAUGUAUUUUUAUUAUUCUUUCAUAUUUUAUAUAUUAUUUAAGUUAUCAUGUACAUAGUCAAUUUUUGAAUGAAUUUGUGUUUAAAAUAGUUUGCAUAUAAUUCAAUUCAAACUUUUAUUCUAUAAUAUCUAUUUCAAUAAUUAUAUAUCCCUAGUCUUUGUGCAAAUUUGUCAACUUAUCUAUUAUAUAUAUUAUGUAUUCAUUAAUUCAUCAUUAUUUUGAAAAUGUCUUAUACCACAAUUGACUUCUAAUUUCCAUUUUAUUUUGUACAUGUUUUGUGGAUCGUUUCAUAUUGUGCCAUAUUUAUUGUUGUUGUAUAUUAUUUAGUCAUUGUUUUAUCAAUUUUUCUCCAUCCAUUAUUAAGAAUUUGGUUACAUUUCACUUAGAAUAAUUGUACUUAAUUGUUGGAUUUAUUAGUUGUGAUUUAUUGUACUUUAUGUGUGCACAUUAUUUCGUGUUUAUUCAUUUCUUUUUACGAAUGUUUUCUUGUAAUACCUCAAAUGUUCCAUCUCAUUUUAAAACAAAUAAAUGUGUUUUGAGCGAAUUUUCAAUUUUCCUUAUUAUUCAAAAAUUCUGAAAUAAGGCAAUAUCCAAUAUUUGGGUAUUUGAGAAAUCGUGCUCAAUCGUGCUGGGUAUGAUUUUUUCGGUGAACUAAAUAUUUGGAUAACCUUUUAUAAUUUUAGUGUACGAGUUUUUGAAAGUCAAAAGUCGAUCGUAUUUUUGAAGGUAUAAAGGAUCGUAUCCAAUCAUGCUGGGUAUGAUGCUGCAUAUCUUUGAAAUGAGAGAAUUUUGACAGUUAACUUGAACUAUUCACACAUUUUAAAGAAUCAUGCUUUGAAAGAUCUUUUUUCUUAAAAUCUUUGAUAUAAGGAUAGCAUCGAAUCAAUUUGGUACCAAUUUUUGGGCGUAAUGAGGCUGCUUAUCCUUCCUCAUGAAUAACCGACUCCCGAACCCAUUUGUUUUUUAUUUUACGUGAACCAAAAUUGUCUUUAAUGGAACAAAACAUUUUAAUAGGUGGCCCAAUCACACCUAAACCGACAGACUGGUGGCGACUCCACAUUUUUGUUUUAAAAAGUCGAUUCUCAUUUUUCCUAACUCUAAAAAAGGGGUUCGACAGCUUGGCGACUCCACUGGGGAUUGAACAAAGAGGGUCAGGCCAUAAAAUUGAUUAUUUGUUUUCCUUUUGUCAAAGAAUUGAAAUUUUGUCUUGAAAAUCAUGAUUCUUUUAAUUGCAUUUGUUUGCAUGAUUAUUGUGGUUCGAGUCUUGUAAAAUAAUAUGACAUUACAUUGCAUGACCUCUGUGGUUAUACCUGUUAAGUGGGAGUAAGAAACUAUGCUUUUGUGAGGUUUUCACCUCCGCAUGAGCUAGUGGAUUGCUUCCGGGAUACAUCCGUACCUAUGAUUUCGUAAGGUUUUUAUCUCUGCAUGGUCAUAGGGAAAUGUAUUCCCCUGAACCGAACUCGAUUCAUAUGAGCCUAUAAUGGGUAAGAAUUGAGGAAUCUGCUAGUUCAGGUACCCUUUCUCUAAAACCAAACCACAUAUAGUGAAUCUUGAGAAUCCACCUUAAGUAGAACCUUGCCCAAAUUUAGUGGUCACCCAAAUAGGUACUUUAUUUGAUAUUUAUUUCACUUGUACUAACGUGUUUUGUUUUUUUUUUGUUUAUAACUGCAUUGCAUUACAUCAUCAUAGAAAGCAGGUGUUGAUUCAUAUUUGAUUGCUAAAUAGAAUAGUUUGUCAUAAGAAAAUGAAUUUCCUGAUAAAGUGGAUUAUAAUACGGUUGUCUAAAUAGACGGAAGAAGGCUGACAGUUCGUGGAGAAAAACAAGUCUCUACUUGAAGAUUCAAGCUGAUAAAGAUUGUUUGAAAGCCGUCGCGUCUCGAUUUUCUUAACAGAGCUAAUCAAUGUCAUGAGGAUAAUAAGUCGUGGCCUGGAUCAAGCAAAGAAGGGCUAGUGGAGGCAUUUAUUGGAGGCUUGCGAGAUUUGGAUUUCACGAAGAAAAGGGAUUGGUGUUUUCACCUGGAAUAUGAAAGCAAUGCCGUAUAUGUAAUCUGUUUUAUGUAAAGGAAUUUGUUUUCUAGAAAAGUUGUUCUAAUGGAAUUAAAUUCAAAAUCAACACCUCUCUUUCUUUUGCAUUCAUCCCAUGCAUUUGCAUUGCAUUGCAUCAUUUCAUCAUUUGCAUUAAAUUUUCAUAAAAGGGGUCCCUAAUUAGUUGAAAUCAUUUCAGUUAAUCUGGGAACCAAUAAAAACUUACCAAUCAAGCGUCGUUACGGUACCUGUGCUAAGACAAAAGAUAUGGAUCAAAGGUUGAAAAGACUUGAACAACUUCAAAGAGAGAUGCAAGACCAGUUACAAAUACAGAUGCAAGAGCAAGUGGCGAAGAUUAGGCAAGAUAUGAGGGAUCUGGUGCUAGAGUCUCAAAGGAAUAUGUUGAACCAGUUGUCUCAAUUGCUGACAAAGGGGCUUGAAGAAAGGAAAAGUUUCAUGAUCAAUAUUGGGAAGGACAAUGAGGAGCCUCUCUAUUCUCCGGGUUUCACCCCGAUAAAUACUCAGCCGCAAGGUGUACCUAUUGUCAAAAUUCAGCAAUAUCAGGCCGGUACCUCUGCACUGGUAGAUUACCCGACAGGCUCAGACUCCAAGCCGGGGGGCAACCCAACCAAUCUUGAAGUUCUUGAUUUAGAUGAAAUGGAAAAAGCAGAGAGGGAAUUGCCAAGACAACUUGAGGAUCGGUAUAGGUGGUUGGAGGAAAAAUUGAAAGCAAUGGAGAAUGUUGACCUCUACUAUGGGAUUGAUGCUAAGGAUCUGAGUUUGGUUCCCGAUCUAGUACUCCCACCAAAAUUUAAAACUCCAGAGUUUGAAAAGUACAAUGGUGUAAUACCCCCUACCCGUAUUCAUUGCCGGAAUACGGUACGAGGUAUUACCGGAGUUUACGAAUUUAUUUAUUUAUUUUUUUAGGAAAACUCAAUAUAAUCCCUUUACAGAUAUCUAACCUUCCCUGCAAUAUUAUAUCGAGACCAAUCCAAAUCAACCAAUCCAAUUCAACAUAUUUUCAAGAUAAAUUCAUGCAUAUUUAUAAAAUAACGUCAUCACAUACCCAAAACCAGGUUUGUUAACCAUACCAAUGGCUAACUCUACAUUCAUUUCACAGAAUCAUUUACUUUAUUAGCUUAUACAUGCCACUGAUUUGCAAAAUAAAGUUUCUUUAUAUACCGAAGUCCUGAGGUUGAUAGUGUGAUGUGUCUCUGACCAAAUCCGACCUCCGAGCUCUUAACACCACAAAACAGGGAAAAAGGAAACGGGGUAAGCACUUUGUGCUUAGUAAGCUCAUGUAACAAGAAUUAUACUUACCUAAUAUUUUCAAUACAAUACAAUAAACAUUCCUAUAUCCAUUCAAUCCAUUAUUAUCCUAAUAUGCACAAUCCAACAUUCAAGUUAGUACAAUAAUUUCCAUGUACCAAUAAUAUAUACUAUGAUUGAUGUGCUCAUCAAUACCAUGAUUUCCAUUUCCUUGUUAUUUUUCCAUAUUUAUCCCAUUGAAUUUCUUGGAAUUUUCGAUGGAUUUUCAGAGAUACACUUUUAGUGUACAUUUCCGGGUCCGUUAAUUCAUAUUCAUGUGCGCACAUAUCCAUUUCAGAGAGCACACUCCUGCGAACCUCAACCGUGCAGCGGGAUUACCAGUCCAGGCUAAAUCCCCUGCAAUAUAAACUCAUAGAGUGUUGUCGGGAUUACCAGUCCAGUCUAAAUCCCCUGCAACGACAAUUACUCUAAUGAGCUUGGAUCUGAAUUACCAGUCCAGGCUAAAUUCAGACCCCAAUUCGGAUUACCCGUCCAGGCUAAAUCCAUUUUACACAUAUUCUUCUGGAGGGCUAUAUCAGGAUAGGAUCACCCAUCCGGGCUAGAUCCUUUUUACCGUCAAUUCCUUUUCAGAGAUCCAUCGAAUUUUCCUUUCAUUCAACCGGGAUUUCUUCUCCUUUUAUCAAAUAUAUCAAUGUUUCAUAAAUUUUCAUACAAUGAACAUUCAAAUCAUACUCACAUAAAUAACAUACAAUCUCAAGCAUUUAAGAAUAUAAUUCAAGUUACAUGAACUUACCUUGAUACUUGUUUGUAAACAAAAAAAAAUCUACUAAUCUCGAACUUUUUCCUUUCCUCGAUCUAGCUUCGUAUUUGAAUCUUCUGGAUCUAAGUAAAUAAAUUUAAUUAUCAAUUUAAUACAUUUCAUGUUCAUAUGCAACAUUCUCUAUAAUUCAACUAUUAUUUAUAGUUCAUUCAAAGCUGUCUACUUGAGUCAUAGUCACUAAAUUAUUUUUAUCUUGAGAUACAGAACUCAAAAUUAGGAUCCGAUAAUUUUCCCUGAAACUAGACUCAUAUAUAUUCUUACCAUAAAAUUUUCAGAAUUUUUUGUUUAUCCAAUCAGUACAGUUUAUUCUUUAAAGUCACCCCUGUUCUGCUGUCGACAGUUCUGACCCUUCUUCACUAAAAAUUAAUUAUCUCUUCAUAAAGAAUUCAAAUGAUGUUAUCAUUUGUUUCUAUUAAAAAUAGACUCAUUAAGGAUUCUGUACAUAUAAAUUUAAGUCCCUAAUUGUUUUUCUUCAAUUUUUUAUGAAUUUUCAAAGUCAGAAUAGGGGAACCCGAAUUCAUUCUGCCUUGUCUCACAAAAUUUAUUAUAUCUAAAAAUUUACAAAUCCAUUGCUUAUAAUAUUUCUUGUAUGAGAAACUAGACUCAAUAAGCUUUAAUUAAAUAUUUUUUUCAUAUUCUAAUUCGAAUUUAUGGUGAUUUUUCAAAGUUAGUCUACUGCUGCUGUCCAAACUGUUUUUGUGCAAGCUGUUUAUUACCAUUUUUUCCCUAAGCUUUUAAUAAAUGAUAAUUUCGUCCCUACUCAAUUAGCCUCUCAAUUGAACUGAUUUUUCUCAAUUAAUAUUUUAUUCUAUCACCUUAAACUAGUUUACAACCUUUAGGAAUCAGAAUUUCAGCAAUAGACUUUAAUUCCAAGUAUUUUCACAAUUAGGUCCUAAAAAUCAAUUUCUAUUGAAAUUACCUAAUAAAAUCAUCUCAUAAACAAAUUAAAGCUUUAAUUUCAUUCUAUUUCAUCAUAAAAUUACAGAAAUCAACCAUGGUGGCUUUCAAUUUCAUCCAUGAAAUCAAAAACUAAUGAAUUUAAUAGUAUGACCUAGUUGUAAAGGUCUUAGAAACACAAAAAUUACAAGAAAAAGUCAAGGAUUAACUCACUUGGUGCAAAAAUUAUGAAAUACCAGCUUAUAGAACCGUCCUAUGGUGUUUUUAGCUGCUGGAAUUGAAGAGAAAUGAAGAGAAAUCUAGAUAUUUCCUAUUUAGUCCUAGCUUUAUUUAGUUAAUUUUGCAAUAUUCCAAUUUUACCCUUAAUUUAUCAAUUUUUCUGCUGAUUUCAUACCCUUGCCGUCCAGCCCAAAUAACUUUUGGGUCUAAUUCCCUUUUAAAUCCUUUCUCAUUAGACUCUUAAGCUAUUUAAUCAUUCUAGCAACUUUUACACCUAUUACAAUUUAGUCCUUUUCAUUUAAUUGACUACCCAAACAUUAAAAUUUCCUAACGAAAUUUUAGUACCACACUAAUAAAAUUUCAUAAAUAUUUAUAAAAUUAUAUUCGACUCGGUUUUACAAGAUAGAGGUCCCAACAUAUUGUUUUUACCCAAUUUCUUCAAUAAUUUCUUUUUCUAACUAACCACUAAAUCGGUAAAAUUUUUCUAUCAAUAUUUUCAUACGAUUUUCCUAUCAUAUCAAUUUUCGUGCAAAAAUAUUGAAAUAAAUUUCUCUUUAAAUCGGAUUUGUGGUUACGAAACCACUAUUCUAAUAACCUUGAAUUUAGGCCAUUACAAAUGGGACUAGUUGUCCUGAAGCUCACGUCACAAUGUUCUGUCGAAGGAUGACAGGAUAUGUUAAUAAUGACCAACUAUUAAUCCAUUGCUUCCAAGACAGUCUGAUCGAGUCAGCAGCUAAAUGGUAUAAUCAAUUGAGUCGUGCUAAAAUCAAAUCAUGGAAAGACUUAGCACAAGCCUUCAUGAAGCAGUAUAGUCUUGUAACAGACAUGGCACCCGAUAGAAUUACCCUGCAAAAUAUGGAAAAGAAGCAAAAUGAGAGCUUCAGGCAAUAUGCUCAAAGAUGGAGAGAGGUAGCAACACAAGUCCAACCGCUUCUUCUGGAAAAAGAGAUUACGAUGCUUUUCAUCAAUAUUUUGAAGGCCCCAUUCAUUGACUAUAUGUUGGUAAGUGCUACUCUAAGUUUUUCAGAUAUAGUAGUAUCUGGUGAGAUGAUUGAAAGCGCGGCAAGAAAUGGACAGAUAGAUGUGGGAGAGAGCGUUAAACGGUCGACCCUAAUGAUCAAGGAAAAUAAAGUGAACAUCGUGAGCAUGCCUUCUAAAUUGGUCAACAUAGACCUGUUGAGGGUUGUAAUCACUAGUUAUCAAGGGGAAUUGGAAUGACUUAUCCAAAGAGAGGUCCAGGGAAUAAAAGUUUCCAAACCCUUAUGUACUUGGGAGUGUUUUAAACAAUGGGACUAUGGAAGAGAUCCUUGUAUUUUUAGAGUUGAUUUAGAGUAAUAUUCAAAACACGCUUGUUGCUUUAAGCCUAGGGGCAAUAAGAAUCCUUUUGUGAAAUAGGCUUGUGUCCAAAAUUUUUUAUUUCAAUAAAAUGCAUUAUUUUUGAAUAAAUAUUCUUUCAUUCUUUAUAUAUUCUUUUGUUCUUUGGACUAUUUUUUUUACAAUAUGCUUUCAUUCUUCAUUCAUGAUCAUACCAUACAAAUAAUUAUCCUUAGAAUAAUUUAUUUUUUGGAAUUUUCCUUUGUACCUACAAUAGGUCCCCAGAUAUCAAUGACAUGAGCAACGCUGUAACUGACUCCCUUUUGGGGUGAGAUAUGUGUUUAAGCGGAUCUCAGGACUUUGAAGAUGACAGAGAUUGUGAUUUAUUUUUUGAUUUGUUAAGGACGAUAGAAUAAGAUGAAAAGCAGAUCCCACUUUACGAAGGGUCAAUGGACACUGUGAGCAAGGGGCAAAGAUCGAAACCUGAGUCAUCACAAAGACAAAAUAAAUCAUCAUUGCGUUAUUCCAAGAAUUCGAAGAUGUUUUCGCAUGAUCAUGUCGAGAUAUACCUAAGAUAUUAGGAUCUGUGGAUGAUACAAAAUGUCUAUACAAUUCUAGAAGGACACAUGUUAAUGGUAGCCACGCUAAUCAUGAGGUUUGGGUAUUGAUAAUCCACCAUGGAAGGGGAUGGCAUUAGUUAAACUGUAUUUAGGGAGACAAGCCACAUUCAUUUCUUCACAGACUUUCUCUAUAUGGGGCAUGGAUGUUGUCAGGCCAUUCUCGUCUAAUACACAUUGAUUCAUCUUGGCAGUUAUUGAUUACUUCAUGAAGAGGGUGAAGGUUGCUUCAUAUGCCAAUAUUACAAGGUCAACAGUCAUCAAAUUCUAAAAAAAAAAAGGUUGUUGACAAGUAAUGUCAGAAAGGAUCACUUUCAAAUACAACUGCACAAUGUCAAAAGUUUGCAGUCUGUUCAAAGAUCAGACACCAUAUUACCGUGUAAUAAAGGCAUCUAAAAAGAAAAACAAAAGUUCAAAAAUAGAAAAGAAAAGGGAAAGCAGUGAAGCCAUAAAACAAAGGUCAUAGUGAAAGACGACCGAGCCUUGUAAGGAUUGGUAUAAAGAAGUUAUCAUUUACCCUCUACACUUAUCGAACGGGGGCCGGGACCUUCACCGGGGCAACACAUUGAUUUAUAGGACUGAAACAGUUUUUGAAAACGAGAUUUCUUUUCUUCGAGUCUUGGCAGAACUAAAGUUAGAUGAAUCGGAAUGGGUCCAAUCCUGAUAUGAUCAGUCAAAUUUAAAGGAUAUCCGUCAUAGUGAGAUGAUGCGGGUUUAUGACAGAAAGGUUUAUCCUUGAGAAUUCCAUAAGGGGAGCUUGAUAUUGAAGAAGAUCUUUCCUAUACAAAAGGACUUCAAAGGAAGAAAUAUGCCAAGCUAAGAGAGAUCUUAUGUAAAGGAGGCCUAUUUUGGAGGAGCAUUGAUAUUGACCAAAAAGAUUUGCCUAGUUCGGAGUUCAAAAUGCUGUCAAAGAGUAUUCUACCUAAAAUGGGAGAGGCCAAGGUGAAAACCCGCAAAGGUCACCUUGAGAACUUAAAAAAUAAAAAUAAAAAAAGAGAAAGAAAUAAAAAGAGAAAAUAAAAAAGAAAGAAAGAAAGAAUCAAUCAAAAAAAAAAGAAGAAAGAAAAGGAGAGGCCAAGGCGAAAACCCGCAAAGGGCGCUUUGAGACCAAAGGGGAUUUGAGUUGAAAACCCGAAAAAGGGCGGCUCAAAUUUGGAUCAAAAUGGGAUAUACAGUAGUCUUUCCAUACAUGAAUUAACAAUGAAGGAAGUAUGUUAUGUCUUGGGGAAUUGACAAAGUACUCCGGAUCCCCUAAACACAGAUUGAGCUCAGAAUGGUCCUCAAGAAGUUGGUAUAGAGAAGCUCAAGUUGCGAUAUCUGGAGCACCUAGCUUUUUAUUUUUACCCAUUUUUUUACUAUCUUUGAUUACCUGAUUCUUUUCAAGGCACAUCCAAGUAAAUUCCUUUCUUGAUUGCAUUUGCUUAUUUGUUUCGAGCUAUGUUCUCAAUUAAUUCCUUCCUUGUCCAUGGUUAUGAUCUUUUUUCAAGCAUUUUGCAUUGAAAUAACGAUUUCUGGGCUAAUAAUACUUUCAUAAAAGGAGUUUCGCAUAUUACUUUGGGAAGUUUCUAAAUAAUACAGGAGCUUGAAACUAGAUUAUUGUUUAAAACUCACCAAGCUUAAGGGUUGGAAAUAUUUAAGCCCAAAUUGAGAUUAUCUCUUUGGAUUUUCUAUCAAAGAUAUUAAUUGGUGUUAUAAUCCCGGCAAAGAACGAGUAAUGGGGUUAUUCUUGAGAAAAGAAAAAUGAUAUUCUAUAUUCCUACAGAUAUCAGACAUAUACGUCUGCUCAUUACACCCAGAGAAUGGUGUAACAGAUUCAAUUGAUUGAAGAUGAUGCAAAUCCUAUACCUCUGAGUUGCCACAGGAUGGAAGAAAUCAAAUGAUUAUUCCCCUGAGGUUGCAGUGGGAAGUUCAAACUUUAUGUCCCAGAAGUUACAGUGUAAGGGACUCUGAAAUUACAGUGGGGCAAGCUUGCUGAACAGAAUGUGAUUGUUUCUUUGGGUCUUCUGCAAAAAAUACCAGCCAAACAAGAUGGCAGCAUAAUAAAUUAGUGAUAGUGUUCUGAUGAACAACAAGCGAUGAUACCUUAAGCAUUUAAAAAAAAAGAGAUCAUUCAAAAAAAAGAUCAUUUUCAUUCAUAUAUCAUUCAUAACACGUUAGGAGCAUUUGAUUCAUUUCGAUCAUAGCAUCCUAAUUAUUUGACACCAGCAUCACAUCUAAUUAGGAGUAUUUGAUUCAUUUUGAUCAUAGCAUCCUAAUUAUUUGACAUAAGCAUCACAUCUAGUUAGGAGCAUUUGAUUCAUUUCGAUCAUAGCAUCCUAAUUAUUUAACAUCAGCAUCACAUCUAGUUAGGAGUAUUUGAUCGUAGCAUCCUAAUUAUUUGGGCAUAAACAUGAUACAUGAAAUCGAGUCUACAAGACAAGUCCAAGAGGAUGGUGUAGUAACAUCGGUGAAGUCAGACUUAUAUCCCUGAAGUUACAGUAGAGUAGGUUGAAGUGACAAGUCUUAUCUCUCUGAAGUUGCAGUGGAGCAGGCUCAAUAUACAAGUCUUAUCUUCCUAAGGUAGCAAGGAAGCAGAUUGAAGGUUGAAGAUCUUAUCUCCCUAGGAAAUAGUUGGGCAGAUCAAAGAUGGCGAAUCUUAUCUCCAUGUAUCGGCAAUGGAGCAGAUUUUAGCCACCAGCCUUAUCUUUCUGAAGUAGCAAGGGAGCAGGUUGGCGAUUGUAGUCUUAUCUUCUUGAGGUAGCAAGGAAGCAGACUGAAGAUUGAAUAUCUUAUCUCCAUGUACCGGUAAUGGAGCAGAUUUUAGCCAUUGACCUUAUCUCUCUGAGGUAGCAAGAGAGCAGGUUGAAGAUGAUAGUCUUAUCCUCUUGAGGCAGCAAGGAAGCAGACUGAAGAUUGCAGGUCUUAUUUCCCUAAGCAGUAGUGGAAUAAACCAAAGACGACAAAUCUUAUCUCCAUGUACCGGCAAUAGAGUAGAUUUAAGUCCCCAGCCUUAUCUCUCUGAAGUUGCAGUGGGGUAGGCUCGAUAUACAAGUCUCUAUCUCCCUGAGGUUGUAGUGGAGCAGACUGAAGAUUGGAGGCAAAUCUUAUCUUCAUGUAUCGACAAUGGAGCAGAUUUAAGCCCCAAGCCUUAUCUCUCUGAGGUAGCAAGAGAGCAGGUUGAAGAUUGAAGUCUUAUCGUCCUGAGGUAGCAAGGAAGCAGACUGAAUAUUGGAGGCAAAUCUUAUCUCCAUGUAUCGACAAUAGAGCAGAUUUAAGCCUGAAGCCUUAUCUCUCUGAGGUAGCAAGAGAGCAGGUUAAAGAUUGAGUCUUAUCUUUCUGAAGUAGUAAGAAAGCAGACUAAAGAUUGAAGAUCUUAUCUCCCCUAAGCAGUAGUGGAGCAGAUCGAAGAUGGCGAAUCUUAUCUCCAUGUACUGGCAAUGGAGCAGAUUUUAGCCACUAGCCUUAUCUCUCUGAAGUAGCAAGAGAGCAGGUUGGCGAUUUUAGUCUUAUCUUCCUGAGGUACCAAGGAAGUAGACUGAAGACUAAAGAUCUAUUUCCCUAAAGCAGUUGCGGAGCAGAUUGAGAAUAGCAAAUCUUAUCUCCAUGUAUUGGCAAUGGAACAGAUUUAAGUCAAUAGUCCUAUUUCCUUACAGUCAGAAUGCAGCAAAACCAAGCAAAAUUGGCCCUAUUUGAAGUCUUUGCUCUACUCUCAUUACACGACAAUGAGCAAAGAGGGGCAGCUGUAAUGGCUGAUUUUUUGCCGGGGCCCAUACAAAAACCAAAAAACAAAAUAAACCAAAAUUAAAGUCCAAUGUCCAUAAUACCCAAGCCCAAAAUCCAAAAUAACAAGACUCAACAAAAUAUGGCCCAAAUGACCCAAAAAAAACCCCCAAACCCUAGCCUGCUGCCUAGUGCAGACACCAGCAGCUUCCGCCCAGCCUCCAUGCUCCACAACGGCCUCCACGCUCACGAACGGUUUCCCCACGCCAUGCACACCUACAACAAACGAAAACCACAACAGCAAAUGACGGCAAACCGAAUUACAGCAAUCAAAUAGAGGAGAAAAAGGGAAAAAUUGUAAAUAUUAUAUUUCAUUUUUGGCUAUAAAAAGCCAUUGUAAAUAUUGAUUUUGAGGAUACACGGAUUGAAAAAAAAACAAUUAGAAUUGAAAAGGUGAUUCAAGUUUUCAGUUUUUUUUUUUAGUUUUCAGAUUUCGUUUUUUUAAUAUUUUUUCUCUUCUCUUCUUUUCUCUCAUAUUUCACAUGAAGAGAAUAAAGGAAAAGAGUACUUGCCUUUGGCCUUUGAUCGCAUCUCUUUUGCUCAUGGUCGGCCACCAAGUUUGAUGGUGGUUCAGCAGUGACUUUGAGAGCCCUAACAUUAGAGAUUUGAUUUGCUGUUUGCAAAAAUGGCAGUGCCAUUCAGUUUUUUUUCUUUAAUUUUGAUUGCAAAGAAACAACACCGUUUCAA
rnacentral:lncRNA from 1 species